rnacentral:rRNA from 1 species
AUUCUACCCUGAAUAUACCUGAUCUUGUGUGAUCUUGGAAGCUAGGUGGGGUUGGGUUUGGUUAGUACUUGAAUGAGAGAAAGCCAUGCC